rnacentral:rRNA from 1 species
UACGGAAGGCAGCAGUGGGGAAUAUUGCACAAUGGGCGAAAGCCUGAUGCAGCUAUGCCGCGUGUAUGAAGAAGGCCUUAGGGUUGUAAAGUACUUUCAUCGGGGAGGAAAAAACAAAACUAAUAAUUUUAUUUCUUGACGUUACCCGAAAAAGAAGCACCGGCUAACUCCGUGCCAGCAGCCGCGGUAAUACGGAGGGUGCUAGCGUUAAUCAGAAUUACUGGGCGUAAAGAGCACGUAGGUGGGUUUUUUUAAGUCAGAUGUGAAAUCCCUGGGCUUAACCUAGGAACUGCAUUUUGAAACUGAAAUACUAGAGUAUCGUAGAGGGAGGUAGAAUUCUAGGUGUAGCGGUGAAAUGCGUAGAUAUCUGGAGGAAUACCUGUGGCGAAAGCGGCCUCCUAAACGAAUACUGACACUGAGGUGCGAAAGCGUGGGGAGCAAACAGGGAUUAGAUACC